rnacentral:lncRNA from 1 species
UUGGCGAUUCGGUCACUAUCCGUUAGUCAGGCCUCAACCGUCUGCUGUUAGAGUAAUGGUCGAUCGUCGCGUGAAGCCUAAGUUUCUCGUAAAAGAAAUUAGAGUCAGUGGACUAGUCCGAUCGGGGGGAAACCACUUAAAACAAAAAUCGUGAAAAGUUCCACCUCAAAAGUUCUUCUUUUCCCUAUUCUUUUCCUAUUCCUUUUAAUAUUUUCUUUGCAGGAUGAACUAUGAUGCCAAAUUCCGUCCAAGAGAAGGAGGAAACGAACCAUAGGAGGACUACGUUAUGAUAACAAUUCCGACCAAGAGGAAGGGGAUGUGGAUUAGAAGAUGGACCAGAAGUGGACUAAGUUAUGGUAAAUGGUAGUAAAAAAUAAUUA